ACUGCUAUCGGAUGAUACUAAGCCAUGCGAGUCUUUGUAGUAAUACAAGGCAGACGGCUCAGUAACACGUAGUCAACCUACCCUAUGGACGAGAAUAAUCUCGGGAAACUGAGCAUAAUUCUUGAUAGAUCAUAAUGCCUGGAAUGGUUUAUGAUUAAAAUGAUUCGUCGCCAUAGGAUGGGACUGCGGCCUAUCAGCUUGUUGGUGAGGUAAUGGCCCACCAAGGCGAUUACAGGUACGGGCUCUGAGAGGAGAAGCCCGGAGAUGGGUACUGAGACACGGACCCAGGCCCUAUGGGGCGCAGCAGGCGAGAAAACUUUGCAAUGUGCGAAAGCACGACAAGGUUAAUCCGAGUGAUUUCUGCUAAAGAAAUCUUUUGCCAGUCGUAAAACCACUGGUGAAUAAGGGGUGGGCAAGUUCUGGUGUCAGCCGCCGCGGUAAAACCAGCACCUCAAGUGGUCAGGAUGAUUAUUGGGCCUAAAGCAUCCGUAGCCUGCUUUGUAAGUUUUCGGUUAAAUCCAUGUGCUCAACGCAUGGGCUGCCGAAAAUACUGCAUAGCUAGGGAGUGGGAGAGGUAGACGGUACUCAGUAGGUAGGGGUAAAAUCCUUUGAUCUAUUGAUGACCACCUGUGGCGAAGGCGGUCUACCAGAACACGUUCGACGGUGAGGGAUGAAAGCUGGGGGAGCAAACCGGAUUAGAUACCCGGGUAGUCCCAGCUGUAAACGAUGCAGACUAGAUGAUGCAUUGGCAUAAUAGCCAUUGCAGUGUCUCAGGGAAGCCGUUAAGUCUGCCGCCUGGGAAGUACGUACGCAAGUAUGAAACUUAAAGGA
rnacentral:rRNA from 1 species